AGCGAACGCUGGCGGCAGGCUUAACACAUGCAAGUCGAGCGGGCCUUUCGGGGUCAGCGGCGGACGGGUGAGUAACGCGUGGGAACGUGCCCUCUGGUUCGGAAUAACUCAGGGAAACUUGAGCUAAUACCGGAUACGCCCUUUUGGGGAAAGGCUUGCUGCCGGAGGAUCGGCCCGCGUCUGAUUAGCUAGUUGGUGAGGUAACGGCUCACCAAGGCGACGAUCAGUAGCUGGUCUGAGAGGAUGAUCAGCCACACUGGGACUGAGACACGGCCCAGACUCCUACGGGAGGCAGCAGUGGGGAAUAUUGGGCAAUGGGCGCAAGCCUGAUCCAGCCAUGCCGCGUGAGUGAUGAAGGCCUUAGGGUUGUAAAGCUCUUUUAUCCGGGACGAUAAUGACGGUACCGGAGGAAUAAGCCCCGGCUAACUUCGUG
rnacentral:rRNA from 1 species